AAGAGAACUUGAGAAAAGAAUUCCAACAACAAUUGGAGGAACAGUCACUAGACACAGAGAGAAAAUUGCAGAAACAAUUCCUUCAGUUCAAAGAAUUAUUGGGCAAAUCCCAAUAUGAUACGAUUCAGCCACCUAUGAUGUCCUCAGAAAAUGUCCCUGCCUUAGGUGCUGAGGAUAAGGACUUAGCUGAAACUUGGGGGGAAGCUGUUCACGAUCCGAAAGGAAAGGCCCAAAAUAUUCGGAGACAUAAUGGGGCCAAAAGCUCUAAACUGGAUGCUAGAAAGACGUCUCAAGAAUUGAACAGUACAUCUAUCCCGGCCUCUCUUAAAGCGCCCGCCCAAGU